UGGAUGAUGCUGGAAGUUGUCAGUGUGCCAACACCAAAGCUUCCAUCAGAGACAGUAUCAUCCUCCAGCCUGCUUUUGUCCUCACCAGAUUCAGAACUACAGAUAUUACAAAGAGAGGGCCAAACAAAGAGCUUUGUGGUGCGUGCAAGGAUGAAGUGUGUCCAAAGUGACCAGCAGAAAUUCCUUCCAACAUCAGCUUGCCAACACUGAAUCUGCUAAGUACCACAUAAACAGCUAUUAUCUGUACAACUGUGAAACACGUGUAUGUGAGAUCACGUAUGUUUAUUUUUGAACAAGAAAGUAUUAAUUUUCUGUUGAAGUCUGGAUGCCAACUGUUCCGCUUUCAUCCAAGCUUCUUUUUGUCUGCACCGAUAAGAAACCCUACCACGAUCUAUCUCUGACUGGUCCUUUUGUUUUUGCCUCCUGCUGUUACACUGACUGUUGAUCUGGCUGAGAAAGUAAAAAUGAAAGGAGCGACUUUGAAGAAAUACCAUGCUUCAUCUGUCCUUUGGAAAAUGAAAAUGGUUUGAAGAUUAUUGCAAAAAAGAAAAGGAGGACAACAAUCCUCCAUUUCUUCUGUCCACUGCUAGAACAGUAAGAAUCACAGAAUCACAGAAUGACCUGGGUUGGAAGGGACCUCAAGGAUCAUGAAGUUCCAACCCUCCCACCUAAGAAAACCAACCACCUGCACUGGGCAGCACUGGGAGGCAUCCUGGAGUUUUCCAAGUCCAUGGAAAACCAGACAAUUGAAACACUCUCCAAUUUCAAAAUGUGAAAAAAGGGGAGGAAUUAUUAUGCUAUUAAACAUCAUGCACCAAUUAUAAUCAUCUUUAAUUCAUGUAAAAACCCAGCAAAAGAACUUACUGGCAUGCAUAUACAACUCAAGUUCCACUAACCGCUAGCUGCAUGCAUUUCCUUUUUAAAAUAGCUGGAGUUACCAAAGUUCCUCCUUGACUUUGCACCUUCAGUUUAUAUUUUCACCCCUGUUUUUAGAAAUGUAUUGGUUAUACUAAAUCACGGCAUCUCAUUACCUGGACAGAUAAUGAAUUUUAUUUUCAGUCAGUCUCCUGUCUGGUUAAAACAAAAGGUUUAGCUCAUGAAAUAUAGUAAAAGGCAUUUCCAGUGCAUAAUGCAAAUCAAGUGUUAGAGCUUCACUCUUCUCUGUCCUGAAAACCACACUGCCAACUAACCUGUGCUGUUUCACUGACCGCACAGUCUGCAGCCAAAAUAUCUUCUCGGUUACUUGAAUCUGAAGCUUCACUCCUUCAGAAGUUGGUAUUGUGAUUUGUGUACCAGGAAAUAGCUUAUCUGUGUUAUACACUUUUGGCACCAGAAUAUCUAUCAUCUAAUAACAGGGUUGGUAUGGGACAUCUUAAAAUGGAUUUUUUAUGUGGCAAUAAUAAUCAAGAUUUUACAAGUGUAAAACUUGUCUUAAUGAAUGCAAAGCUGUCUGGCCACUAUGUCAACUGACAUAGAAUUUCUUGCUCUCUGCUCUCCAAUCUUUGAAAAAGUUCUACAGAAUCAGGGAAGACAGUCAUGUGUAUAAUAUGGAUGAUAACAAUGUGUAUGAAAAUGUUUGAUUUGAAUUUCUUGAUUUUUUGUUUUCUGGUUUUCCCCUUCUAGUACCUUCUAUAUCUCAGACCAUCUACAUUGGAGUUUCUUUUUGUCUCUAGAAGAAAAAUCUUCCAGUUAUAUUUGCAUUGCUUUAAAGUUCUUUAAGAUAAAAAUUUAGUAAUUCUCUGGAACUUUAUCUACUCCAGUAAGACUAUGAAAAUAAGCAUGAAUGAGAGAGAACAUGACCUGGCAAUUCUUACAGGCUGUGAAAUUUCAGCACCUUACUUUCUGAGCACCUGCCUUUGCAAUCGCAGAAACAUUUUGCUUUGCAGUGUCAUAGAUCUUCUACUGGUCCACUUUUUCUUUUCAUGACUUUAUGGGAAAUUACAUUGGCUUCAGGAGCACACUUGCACUGUGUGUACUCUACCUUGGUCUCUCCACUUCAUAAAUCAUCUCUAAAUUUUUAUCAAAGUCGAUGUCAG